rnacentral:rRNA from 1 species
GACGAACGCUGGCGGCGUGCUUAACACAUGCAAGUCGAACGGAGUGGCGAACGGGUGAGUAACACGUGGGUGACCUGCCCUGCACUUCGGGAUAAGCCUGGGAAACUGGGUCUAAUACCGGAUAGUGUGGGAUGGGCCCGCGGCCUAUCAGCUUGUUGGUGGGGUAAUGGCCUACCAAGGCGGCGACGGGUAGCCGGCCUGAGAGGGUGGACGGCCACAAGGGGCCUGCGACACGGCGCAGAGUGCAACGGGAGGCAGCAGUGGGGAGUAUGGUACAAUGAGGGGACGCCUGAUGCGGAGGCGCUGGGAUGGGGAUGACGGCCUUCGGGUUGUGAACGCCUUUAACCAUCGACGCGGUAGAUGGAGAAGAAGCACCGGCUAACUACGUGCCAGCAGCCGCGGUAAUUC